UAGAGGACUAAAUUUUCUUUUAAGGGGGGGAGAGUGUAAUAUCCCUCGCUUUUAAAAAUUAUUAAUAAAGAUUUAUAUGUAAAUUGGAGGACCUAUAUGUAAAUAUAGAAAUUACAAGGACUAAACUGCUAAGUUGCAAAAAAGAAAAAAAAGGGGAAAACCGAAAAUUCGGUAUUAUCCCACCGCCUCCCACGCACUCUGUUUCUUCCAGAAACAGAGAGAGCGGUGGGGCGUGAGGACAAGAAGAAGAGGAGGUGGCUGCAGCGAGGGCUGCAGCGAGAAGCUGUGGGGCGUGGGGAGAAGAAGAGAGGAAGAAGAGGGAGAAGAGAAGAAGAAGAAGAAGAAGAAGAGAAGAGGAUAGCUGCGGCAAGGCUGCAGCGAGGAGGUGUGUGGGGUUGGGGAGGAAAAGGGAAGAGGAGAAGAAGAGGGAAAAGAGAGGGAAGAGGGAGAGGAGCGAGAGGUGGCAGCAGCUAGGGCUGCAGCACCUCUGUUUCCUGCAGGUGGAAACAGAGGAGAUGUGUGGGGCGUUCGAAGAGGAGAAGAAGAAGAAGAGGAAGAGAAGAGGAAGAGGAAGCAGGGGAAGAGGUUGUGAUACCUCUGUUUCCUGCAGACGAAACAGAGGAGAGGGUGUGGGUGACGUCGGGGAGAAGAAGGGGAGGAAGGAGAAGAAGAGAAGAAGAAGAAAGGAAGGAAAAGGAAGAGGAGAAGGGAAGAAAGUAGCUGCGGCUGCGGUUGUGGCAGCUGCAGCUGUGGCAGGGAAAGAAGAAGAGAAAGGAAGAAGAGAAGGGGCUACGGCUGCGGCGAUGGCAGCUGCAGUUGGAAGAGAAGAAGGAGAGGAAGAUGAGCAGGGGAGGAAGAAGAGGCUGCGAGUGUGGUGGCUGCGGCCGUGGCUGCGACUCCGGCUGCGGCUGCGACGUUGGCUGCGGUAGCUGCGGCAGCGGUGGUGGCUGCAGUAGCUGCAGUAGCUGCUUUUGGGAAAGAGAAAGAGUAGGAACGAGAGAAGGGAAGAAGGAAAUAGUGCAGUGGAAGGGGGCUGCGGUUGUGACCGCAGUUGCGGUCGUGGCUGCGAUUGUGGCAGCGGCAGCGACGGCGGCUGUGGCAGCUGUGUUUGGGAAAGAAAAAGAAGGAAUGAGAGUAAGAGAGAGCAGGUGACUGUGCCUCGAUGUUCGACACGUGGUGUAGUUGCGAAGAAAGGAAGAAAACGGGAGCACAAAACGAAACAGAGAGAGGACACGGAGGAAAAGUAGAAAGAUUGGAUUGGCACCUUCCUUGGAUAUUCAGAUCAAAAUAUUUGAAAGGUCAGCUUGUCACUCUUCGAGAUGUUUGAUUUGGGCUGAGGCAGUGGAUAGCUAUUCAGAAUAAUGGGCAAGUCUGGUUGGUUAUUACGAUAUUGUUGUAUAAGUAUGUCUUGUAUAUAAUGAAAUGUUGUCGAUGAACCGAAAUGGAUAUACUGUGUCCAAGUGUUAGGAGAUCUCUCUUAUUUGGAAUUUCAGAAUGUUAAGUCUAAUUUAUGGUGAUAUGAACUUGUGGUGAAUAGUUGGAGUUCUGAUUGUAUAAUUUAUUUAGCUUGUGGAUUUAUAAAUGUUGUUCAUGUUUGUCAAGUUGGCUUGGGUUGCCAUAAAUGUGAAUUAUCGAGUGAUGUGAUAUAUGAUUUUAAACUGCACAGGUUUUAUGGA